rnacentral:rRNA from 1 species
GCCCUUGGUGAAAUUCUUGGACCGUCGCAAGACGGACAGAAGCGAAAGCAUUUGCCAAAAACGCUUUCAUUGAUCAAGAACGAAAGUUAGAGGCUCGAAGGCGAUCAGAUACCGCCCUAGUUCUAACCAUAAACGAUGCCAGCUAGCGAUCCGCCGACGUUCCUCCGAUGACUCGGCGGGCAGCUUCCGGGAAACCAAAGCUUUUGGGUUCCGGGGGAAGUAUGGUUGCAAAGCUGAAACUUAAAGGAAUUGACGGAAGGGCACCACCAGGAGUGGAGCCUGCGGCUUAAUUUGACUCAACACGGGACACCUCACCAGGCCCGGACACCGGAAGGAUUGACAGAUUGAUAGCUCUUUCUUGAUUCGGUGGGUGGUGGUGCAUGGCCGUUCUUAGUUGGUGGAGCGAUUUGUCUGGUUAAUU